rnacentral:rRNA from 1 species
AUGAAUUGCCUAGUGUGGAACUGUCGGGGGGCGGGGAACCCUCGUACAGUUCGUGAUUUACAGGCUCUUUGUAGAGCCAAUUCCCCGAGGAUGGUGUUUCUGUGUGAGACUAGGAAUCAGCUGCAAAAGAUGAAAAGGUUGCGAAGUAGGCUUGGGCUUCGUGGUUUUGAGGGCAUAAGUAGUCAAGGAAAGAGUGGUGGCCUAGCUUUGUUUUGGGAUGAGUCCAUGUAUGUCAGCAUUCAGGACGUUAAUGAGAGGUGGAUUGAUGUUUUUGUCAGGGUGGCUCCCUCGGAACCUCUUUGGCGAGUGACCUUUGUGUAUGGAGAACCGAGGGUGGAAAACAGACAUCUUAUGUGGGAGAGCUUGUGUAGACUAAGGAAUACUUCUGAGUUGCCUUGGUUAGUUACCGGUGAUUUCAAUGAGGCGCUAUGGGACUGUGAACAUAUGUCCAUGACGGCGAGGCCGCAAGCCCAGAUUAUAGCCUUUCGGGACUGUCUUGAGGUGUGUCAGUUGGUGGACCUAGGCUUCUCAGGCUAUCCGUUCACAUACGAUAACAAACGGAGCGGUCGGGCUAACGUGCAGGUGCGUCUGGAUAGAGCGGCAGUGGACAAUGCCUGGCGAGAUAUGUUCCCGGAGGCGACGGUGCUCCACCUGACGUCGCCCCGAUCAGACCAUCGACCGCUUCUCCUGCGGUGCGCACAAGAUACACAGGUGAAGAUGGCAAAGGCGAGGCGCUAUGAGGUUAUGUGGGAGCGUGAGGCCUCCCUGGCAGAAGUGGUAGAGGCGGCUUGGGCUGCUUCGGGCGUGAAAAAUGACUUGGGAGGCGUGAGCAAAGCCCUCAAAGCAACAAUGUUGAGACUACAUGAGUGGAGCAAUACGAAAAUUGGCAAUGUGACAAGAGAGAUUGAGAAGUCCAGGACGAGGCUAGAGGAACUGCACAAUAUGAAUGCCGACCGUAGUGAGAUACGGAAAGAGUCUGAUCAUAUGGAUGAACUCUUGUACAAGGAGGAGAUGAUGUGGCUGCAACGAUCUAGAAUGGAGUGGCUGAAACAUGGAGAUCGGAACACAAAGUUCUUCCAUAGGAAAGCAAGAUGGAGAGCCCGGAAAAACAAGAUCAAGGGAUUGCGGGAUGACUUGGGAGUCCUUCAACCGGAGCAGGCUGUAAUGUCAGGUAUGGCCAUGAGUUACUUUCAGAAUCUGAUUGAAGCUGAUCCUAGUUUACUCCCUCAUACAGUGGUAAACCUUUUUGAUCCGGUCAUUACAGAGGAGAUGAAUGCCAAACUGUGUGAAGCCUUUUCGGACAAGGAGAUUAGUGAUGCACUAUUUCAGAUUGGGCCUCUAAAGGCACCUGGGCCGGACGGUUUCCCGGCGAGGUUUUUUCAGCGUCAUUGGGGCACAGUGAAAGAUGACAUUAUUGCCGCAGUCAAACAAUUUUUCUUAUCGGGGGUAAUGCCGGAGGGGGUAAACAACACCACCAUCGUGCUCAUCCCAAAGGUUGACGACCCCCAACGUUUAUCCGAGUUUCGGCCCAUUAGCUUGUGUAACGUGAUUUACAAGAUCAUCUCCAAGUGUUUGGUGAACCGGUUGCGACCACUACUUGGCGAUAUCAUCUCUGAGGAACAGAGCGCUUUCGUCCCUGGAAGACUCAUUACGGAUAAUGCGUUCAUUGCCUUUGAGUGCACUCACUAUAUUAAACCGGAGAAGGACCCUGAUAAAGCUUACUGUGCUUACAAGCUAGAUCUGUCCAAGGCGUAUGAUCGUGUAGAUUGGACUUUCCUUGAGCAAAUGAUGAGAAGACUGGGCUUCGCGGAUCGGUGGGUGAGAUGGACAAUGACUUGUGUCACCUCAGUCCGUUAUUGUUGCAUUGUUAAUGGAGCCCUAUCAGAUUCAUUUGCACCGUCGUGUGGGAUGCGGAAAGGAGAUCCCCUCUCCCCGUUCUUGUUCCUUUUCGUGGCAGAAGGGUUAGCGGCAAUCUUGAAGCAACGGGUCAAUUCUCAGCAGCUGACACCAUUACGGGUUUGUCCACGUGCACCUGGCAUCUCACAUCUCAUGUUUGCAGACGAUACCUUGCUGUUUUUCAGAGCAACCGAGCAGGAAGCUUCUCAUGUCAAAUGCGCACUUGCCACCUUUGCUCAAGCCACGGGUCAGCUUAUCAACCCGCAAAAAUGCUCCAUUCUCUUUGGUGAGCACUGCCGGCGAACAGACCAGGAUGCAGUGGUAUUAUCACUGGAACUGCAGCAGCAUAGCUUCGAGGAAUGCUACUUGGGUUUACCCACGCCAAACGGGCGCAUGUCCAAGGGCAUGUUCCAAAACCUCCAGCAGAAAUAUAUGAAGCGUAUGAUGGAAUUGGAUGGCAAUCAACUUGCGCAAAGCGGAAGAGAGGUCCUCAUUAAAUCCAUUGCACAGUCUAUUCCAACCUACAUCAUGAGCGUUUUUAAGCUACCGGCGGCCACUUGUGAAGAUCUUAUGCGGAUGAUCCGUAAUUUCUUUUGGGGAGUAGAAAAGGGGAAGAGAAAGAUGCACCGGCGGGCAUGGAUUCAUCUAAUCAAGCCCAAGGCACAAGGUGGACUGGGCUUUCGAGACCUACGACUUUUUAACCAGGCACUUCUAGCACGCCAAGCUUGGAGGCUACUUACAAACCCUGUUAGCUUGUGUGCCCGGUUACUGAAAGCACGCUACUACCCGUUUGGUAACUUGGAGGAUACUGUUUUCUCGACAGCGGCCUCAGUUACUUGGCAAGCAAUUCAGCAAGGGCUUGAGCUCCUGAAGAAGGGAUUGAUCUGGCGCAUAGGCGAUGGACGAGCGAUCAGGAUAUGGCGCGAUAGCUGGAUCCCCAGGAAUGGGAGUGGGAGGCCUGCUACCCCCCAAGGAAGAUGCCGGGUGCGGCGUGUAUGUGACUUGCUGGAUGACCAUGGAGCAUGGAAUAUGGACUUGGUUCGGAACAUUUUUUUGCCGGUCGACGCGGAGGUGAUUGCAACAAUUAAAAUCUUUCCUGGGUUGGGUCCAAACAUGCUUGCAUGGGAGACGGAACGCAGCGGGAACUUCACCGUGAGGAGUGCUUAUCGACUUGCUCUUGAGGAUCAUCUUCGGUUCUCUUCAGUCGUGGCGAGCAGGGCACCGGACGGGCGACGAGCCGUCUGGGCUUUUAUUUGGAGGUGCCCUGCUCCUCCUAAGGUUCGAAUCUUCACCUGGCGGUUGCUUACAGAUUGUCUACCCACUUGGGUGAAUAAACGCCGCCGGGGCCUGGAGGUUUCUGACAAAUGCCCUCUUUGUGCCUUGGAGCCGGAGGACACGUACCAUGUUUUUUGCAGAUGCCCAAUGGCGGUCGCACUCUGGCAGGCCAUGGCGGACCAAUGGAGAAUACCUGCUGUUACAUCCUUCCGUCGGACGGGAACGAAAUGGCUUGCCCAAGCCCUAUGUAAGCUGCCGGACACGGAGAGGAUGGAGCUCAUGAUGACAUUAUGGCGCUGCUGGUAUGUUCGAAAUGAGAUGGUGCACCACAAGAAGCCACCACCAAUCGAAGCAUCCAAAAACUUCCUCAUCAGCUACGUUGAUUCAUUGGUGGGCAUCCAGAACGCUCCUCAUGCGGAUCCAAUCAAAGGGAAGCAGGUGGUGGACGCUGUCAGCCAGUCCCGGCCCAUGCAGCACGAGACUCCUGCUCCAACCACGGUGCUGCGCUGGUCUCGACCGGUGACGGGGUGGGCGAAGCUCAACAUCGACGGCUUCUACAAUGCCACCAGCGGAGAGGCUGGUACAGGCAUGGUCCUCCGGAGCGACAUGGGCGACAUCAUUUUUUGUUCAUGCAGAGAACUCCGGACGUGUUUGGAUCCUUUGGAAGCCGAACUGCAGGCCUGCAUGGAGGGGCUCAACUUGGCACUUCAAUGGACCCCUUUGCCUAUUGAGAUGCGGUACAUGCGAUACUAG